CUCAUCUUUUCGGAUAAAGUAAGAAGCUCUCUGUUUCUCCCCCAUCUCCUCUUCACCAUGAAGUGCUGUGCAGGACAAAAUGAGGGGUGUGGGAAUCCCAAUUGCAGCUGUGGAUCCGGCUGCAAGUGUGGAGACAGCUGCAAGUGUUGAUGGAGAGAAUGGAAGGGGGUUUGAUUCCCCCUUAAUCUGUGAAUUGUUUGCUGCUAAAUAAGUGGCCAUUAAGAUGCAAACUGUUUGCAUCAUGAAUGUUCUCCAUGGCCUAUAUGGUUUGUGAUGGAUUUGUGUAUGGUGUGGUCUAAACUACUUGAGUAACGUAUAUAUGUAUGUGUUGUUUGAUGUAUGAACUAGUAACCCUUAUAGCUGUUCCUGGUA
rnacentral:misc_RNA from 1 species